GCCCGCCCAAACUAAAAAUCAUUCCGCCAAAACUUUUGUAUACCCCCUCCUCCCGUGUUUUGAAUUUUGUCACUCAAAGAUUAAUUUUUCAUUAAAAAAACUGAAAAGUAAUAAGGAAAGAAAAAACCCCUAAAUCACAUCAAAUCCCUACCACCCUGUUCUGCCGCGCCGACCCGGCGUUCCUCUGCUUUCCCUGCGACUCCACCAUCCACGCCGCCAACAACCUUGCCUCCUGCCACCCGUGCGUCCCCCUCUGCUAGGUCUGCGAGCAAGCUCCGACCUCCGUCACCUGCAAGGCAGGCGCUUCUUCCCUCUGCAUCUCCUGCGACCACGACAUCCACUCCGCCAACCCCCUCGCCCGCCUCCACGAACGCGUUCCCAUCGCCCCCUUGCUCUUUGGAUGCAGUCACAAACACAAGGGUCAUGGUGUACCUUUGCUUGGUGAUUUGGUUUUUAUGACUGAGUUGAUGAUUCUGGUUCAUGAUCCUUAUGCUGGGUGUUAAUUGAAUGAUAUCACCAUAGAUCAGAAGUAUAGACAUGAUAUUCCCCACCAUCAGGUCAAAUAGGUGAUAUAUUAACUUUGUGGGGCCAAAACUUGAGGUGCAAAAGGUUGCUGGUUAUGUUGCAUUCAUUCAAAGAUAUUGACUGGGCAAUAUAUAUGGUUAAGCAGGACUAUAUCAAUUGUGGUGUGUUUACAUGGGCAACUACUUCUGUGGGACAUGUAAACUCCUUGAACAUCAUAACUGGAGGCAGUGAAAAUUUCUUCCAUUGCUACAAAUGUGGCUGUUGUCACUCAACUUUGCUGAAAGUCAGACACCUUUGUGUGGAAGGGGGCAAUGCAUCACAACUGUCCUAUUUGUUUUGAGGUCAAAUUUUACAAUGUUAUUUGUUUUGAGAUAACAUUGUACAUUGUUAAAUUAGUGCUAUUUCCCUUUCCACCAGUUUGAUAAUUGCUAGAGCUUUACACAAGGGCGUCCAAAUUGAUGCUUACAGUAUUUUUAGGCUGCUAGAGAUGGUGGCUAAAAUCAACAUGACAACAGUUUCUAAACCGUGGCUCAAUGAUAUAGGCCACGGUUACGAACGUGCGGUGUAAAUUUAACCGUGGCUUUAGAGUUUUGUGUAAACCGCGGCUAAAAUACCGAAAGCCACGGUUUACGAAGCGCGGUAUAAAAAAAACCGUGGUCUUACGUUUUUGAGUAAACCGUGGCUUGAAACUGACAAAACCGUGGCACUUGAGCUUGGCCACGGCCGCAUACACUACGACAGGAAAACCGCAGCUAAACCGUGGGGUAAGCUUUUAACCACGGUUUUUUCACAUGAGCCCACAGUUUUCUGUGCGCGGCAGAAGGCCGAAAAUGCUGUAGUGUUAGU